GAUGAACGCUAGCGGCAGGCUUAACACAUGCAAGUCGAGGGGCAGCGAGGGUAGCAAUACCUGUCGGCGACCGGCGCAAGGGUGCGUAACGCGUGAGCAACAUGCCCGUAUCAGGGGGAUAAUCCAGGGAAACUUGGUCUAAUACCCCAUAGAAAUCAUUUAAGGCAUCUUUUAUGAUUUAAAGCUUAGGUGGAUACGGAUUGGCUCGCGUGACAUUAGUUAGAUGGUAGGGUAACGGCUUACCAUGACUAUGAUGUCUAGGGGUUCUGAGAGGAAGGUCCCCCACACUGGAACUGAGACACGGUCCAGACUCCUACGGGAGGCAGCAGUGAGGAAUAUUGGACAAUGGAUGGAAAUCUGAUCCAGCCAUGCCGCGUGCAGGAAGAAUGUCCUAUGGAUUGUAAACUGCUUUUGUAUGGGAGCAAUAAGGUCUUCGUGAAGGCCGAUGAGAGUACCAUACGAAUAAGCACCGGCUAACUCCGUGCCAGCCGCCGCGGUAACAC
rnacentral:rRNA from 1 species